AUUACAACUUUCAACAACGGAUCUCUUGGUUCUGGCAUCGAUGAAGAACGCAGCGAAAUGCGAUAAGUAGUGUGAAUUGCAGAAUUCAGUGAAUCAUCGAAUCUUUGAACGCACAUUGCGCCCUUUGGUAUUACCAAAGGGCAUGCCUGUUCGAGCGUC
rnacentral:rRNA from 1 species